CCCAGGUCAUGCUAACGUGCAAGCAGGUUUGGGGCCGCAGAGUCGCGCCUCCUACUCCUGGCGGGAGCCCCCGCAGCCGGGUGGGAGGGCGCAGCACGUGCCAAGCGUCCUGUGGCUGCAGCUGCCGCCGAGCGCAGGACCUGGCGCGGGAGCCGCCCACCUGGGCCCUCCAGGCGGCGGGGAUGGGGGAGCGGACUCGGGAGGAGGCCCCGGGGCAGCCUGCAAGCCCUGCGCGGCCCAGGACCCCUCGCCCCGCCUGCAGCCGGGCGCAGAGCAGGGGCCGCAUCUCAGGCGGGACGACCUGUCCCCCCACGAAGGAGGCCGCGCGGCACCCUCGCUGCUUGGGGCCCGAAUGUAGAUACACGGAAAGAACAUACGCCUGGAAGGCGGCAGUGAAAAAGACGUGAAGAGUCUGCCUGUGAUUUGGAGCCUCUGCUAACUCGCUCCGCGCUGGCGCGUGCCCACGCACUAGAAGGCGAUGCGGUGACAGUGGUGUCGUGUGGUCUGCUCCAAGGGGGGAAGAGAAUUUUGCUACGGUGCUUUCCAGGGUGCCCUCCCUCCUGUGGGCACAAAUACACGUUCGUGCUACCUUGAAGAAAGCGCUUCUGGAAUUUCUGCAUCUACCUGCCCUGAAUUGCAAAAUUCCUUGUUAACACACUCGGAAUUCCUCCGGCAGCUCAAAGUUGGUGAACCACCAGGCCGAAUGUGGAACCCAGCCAGAUUCGGGGGGCUCACGGAAGCCUGCUCACCUCCUGCUGUCUUGAGGAAGCCACCUGCUGUGAGGCAGCGGAGGGUCCCCUGGGCAGGACCGUUCCCUGCGGAUUGUGGAGGGAGGCAUUGCGGAAAAUGCCAUGAGAGCAGAAUCUGGCCGUGAUGGGCGACUUCAGAGCCUAGGGUUCGGGGGGCUUCGUGUCAGCGGGGUGACGGGGCCUGCGGGAGUCAGGUAGGAUGGGCCUUAUAAGAACUAGAACACCUUUAUCCCUUAUCUGGCCAAGACCAUCUCUUUAAUUCCCUGAGCAAGCCCGAACCGUAAGGCAGUAGUCCCCACAUUUCACUGAGGAGGAAACGGGUCCCAGGGACGGUCGGUGCGCUCGGAGUGCUGACUGACCGUCUAGCUCUGGGCCUCUAUCCCCACCGUGCCGUUGCCUGAGCAACUCUGAACGUUCCCGAUGACAGUGGACAUCCGAAGAGGCCGUGGCGUCUCGCCAAGCGUCGGCACCGCUGCUCACCGACGGGCUUCUUCAGAUUCCAUCCGCAAGGCAGCCUGGAGGCCCACCGCGGUCCAGGCCGUGCCUUCGCUUUGAUGGAGCGUCUGCCCUGUUAUCCAGUAGAAGGAGGCCGUGGCUGGCCCUCAAGGAGUAGGGUCGGAUUAUACCCAUUACCCUUUCUGGGACUUAUAGACUGUUUGGUCAGACUUUGUGUAUAGGCCCAUUCAUGGCCUGUUUUUAGGGUUCAUGAUAGACACACACACACACACACACACACACACACACAAUUUCUAUCUCUGAUUUUAUGAAGUUAAGUGACUCACCGGACAGCUGAGGUUAACUAGUCACCCUGGAGACGUAGUAAGAGCCUGCCAGUGGAUGAUCACAAAUCCGCCAUCCUCCAGACACAAGCAGGCCUGGCUAGAGCUCAGCCACUAGUGGAUCGAGUCCCGGCAGGGCCUCCUGUACAAACACAGAACUGGGAGAGGCCUGCACAGUUGUUCUAGGAGACCCCGAAAGGCUUGCUUGGCAAUGCCACACACUCCACUGGACAAAUAUGUCCCCGAGGGGCCCUGUGUGUCAGGCACCGUGCCAGGCUCUAAGUGCACAGGGAUAAGGCGGCCGAGGUCCGUGACUUCUCAGCUCCCCCAUCCAGACAGAAGGGCCAGAAACAAAAUAGUGGACCUGUGGCCGUCAGGGUUGUAUGGGAAGCUACGGGAGGCCCUGGGGCAGCCCGUGAUUAGAGCUGUGGUGGGAAGGUGGCAGGAGAAAGCCGGGGAAACUGGAAGAAGGUACUGGAAUUAGAUUGAAUGGUGGAGUUGGAAUCCACCAGGGUCGUGGAGCAGGGGGCCCGGUAGCCCGAGGCCAGUGCAGGGGGAGGGGAGUGAGUGACCCCCGGUCCUGGCCUGUGAGCAGCAGUGGGUGGCACGGACGUGGGGGACUUUGGGGAGGAUGCGGUGGAAAUGGGGAAAGGAGGCAGGAAGGGUUCAGAGGGCCGUGUCAACAGGAACGUGGCUCUAUCCCGUGGGCUAUCACUACCGUGACCGUAAAACGUACUGUCCAAACUGGGACGCCUCUGAGAGUAAGAGGAGGUGCUAAAGAUCCUUGGAAUUUAAUUUUUUAGGUGUUUGUUGACCACCAUAUUGAUUCUACUAAACUUUUUGAAGAGAAAAAUGCUUUCUAAAAGUAUUUCGUAUAUUAAAGCAAAAUUAAACACUACAUGAACAAUGAAAAUAUGAGCAAAACAAUUAUUCUUGAUAGUCCCAUUUUAAUCUGCUUUUUGCUUAUAACUAUCUCUAACACCAUCCUAUGAGAAUUAUUCUGAAUAUAUUUUUCAAUGUGAUUUUAUUUUUAAUGUUUUAAUAGAACAGGAUUGUUUACAGCUCUAUUUUAUGGUGCUUAGAUUAGAAUGUUUGAGAACUCCAGUGAACUGUUUGUUUUUGUUUUGUUUCGUUUUGUUUUUGAGAAAAUACUCUCCUUGAAGGCACUGAAGAAUGUUCAAAGCAAAUUAUGCUAAAUGGAGGAUGUUCUUAAUUCAAUUUUUUUUUCAUAUUGAAAUGUGUAAACAUCUUGGGCUAUUCCCCCUCGAUUCACUGUACCUCCAACAAAUAUUUUCAUAACAAAAGUCAUCAAAUAAAUUCUGUUUAUGAUAUUCUCA
rnacentral:lncRNA from 1 species